rnacentral:rRNA from 1 species
GGAUUAGUGCGCCGGUCGUGCCUUCGGUAUGUACUGGUGUUACUGGUUCCUACCUUCUGACGAACCGUCAUGUCAUUAAUUUGGUGUGGCGGGAAAUCAGGACUGUUACUUUGAAAAAAUUAGAGUGUUUAAAGCAGGCCUACGCUUGAAUACAUUAGCAUGGAAUAAUAGAAUAGGACU